GCAUCCUUAGCUCAGCUGGAUAGAGCAUUAAUCUUCUAAAUUGAUGGUCACAGGUUCGAACCCUGUAGGUUGCU
rnacentral:tRNA from 1 species